rnacentral:miRNA from 1 species
UGGUAUAUAUGUGUGCAG